rnacentral:rRNA from 1 species
GAUGAACGCUAGCGGCAGGCCUAAUACAUGCCAGUCGAACGGGUGGUCGCAAGACCACUAGUGGCGCACGGGUGCGUAACGCGUAACCAACCUGCCCCGAUCUGGGGGAUAGCCCGCCGAAAGGCGGAUUAAUACCGCAUAUACCCGCAGCCUGGCAUCAGGCAACGGGGAAAGAUUUAUUGGAUCGGGAUGGGGUUGCGUGACAUUAGCUAGUUGGCGGGGUAAGGGCCCACCAAGGCGACGAUGUCUAGGGGACCUGAGAGGGUGAUCCCCCACACUGGCACUGAGAUACGGGCCAGACUCCUACGGGAGGCAGCAGUAGGGAAUAUUGGGCAAUGGGCGAGAGCCUGACCCAGCCAUGCCGCGUACCGGAUGAAGGCCUUCUGGGUUGUAAACGGCUUUUCUCAGGGAAGAAAAAGACCUUGCGAGGUACACUGACGGUACCUGAGGAAUAAGCACCGGCUAACUCCGUG